rnacentral:lncRNA from 1 species
AAUAAAUAAAUACAGUGAGAGAGAGAAAGAGAGAGACGCAGAAAGAGAGAGAGGGAAUGCUUACCUUUAAAUCCUUUAUCAUUUUUUAAUUAGGCCGGCAAAUCAAAAAAGCAUUUCUCAGUCCACUAGGCACACAGCCCUGUGCCUCAUUUUACUUAAACACCAAAUGAUCAAAAAGGAAGAAACCAAGUAACACAUCUCAGCCAAAAUAAUCACUCAGUAACAUCAUUCCACUCCCCCAUCCCCCAUUUGGCAAAAAGCUCUGGAGUCCUUUUCUCCUUAAAAAAAAUGUGUCACUGUGCAGCUGAGAGAUGCUUCACAUUCACAACCCGAGCACCGAAGGGUGUUUUUCCUCUUAACAAGCAUUCAGAAUAAUAGGGUGUUGAGAGAGAGGGAGAGGAGAGGGGGAGGGGAGGGAAGGGAAGGAAGGGAGGGAGAGGGAGGGAGGGAGGGAGGGAGAGGGAGNNNNNNNNNNNNNNNNNNNNNNNNNNNNNNNNNNNNNNNNNNNNNNNNNNNNNNNNNNNNNNNNNNNNNNNNNNNNNNNNNNNNNNNNNNNNNNNNNNNNGAGAGAGAGAGAGAGAGAGAGAGAGAGAGAGAGAGAGAAUUAGAGAAAAAACUUUUCCGAACUUCUCAUUGCGCUUUCUGUUGCAGACUUCAGAGUCGCCGUGAUCAGCUUUCCCUAUGAACGACCACAUCUGAUCUGUUUCUUCAUGUGUUCAGAUUCCAUCCUAUUUCAAGAACAUUAGUGAAAUUGAACAAGGUUCACUCACAGGACCUCAUUUACCCAACAGUUACCUCAUGUGUGAUCCUGUUUCAAUAUAGCCACACUUUGAGGUAAGCGGGCUUAGGGCUUGUACAUCUGGAUCUGGGGUAUGCACAGCCAAUGCAGUUUGGCAUCCUUUUACCCUACAUGCUAGCAGACAACUGUCCUCAGUGUUCUCGCCCACUAAUUUGACCAUAAGCCUAUCCAUUAUGCAGAUAGUCCUCUUUGCAGAGAACUUUUAUUUUAAUAGUCUUCAUUUCUAUUUCUAAAAGUUCUUGCUUGUUUUCAUGCCAGCCCAUCCUUUUACUUAUGCAUUAUUUCCUCGAAUCUUUCACAGCAUUGAUUUCUCGUAGUUUAGAUGCAUUCUUUUUCCUCGGGAGUUAAUUCUGCCUGCUGGAUUUUGACUCUUCCAAGGUCUACAAAUUACUGCUCAUACCUUAUCAUCUGGGCUUGAAAGCUCAAGAGGGACAUAUCUCUGGUUUAUCCUCUAGCUGUGGUAUCUCCUCUGAGUGUUUAUAAAUGCCUGGACAAGCCCUGUAGUAACCACCUUAUACAAUUUCUUACUUAAAGAUAUCAGUUCAAGAGUUUUGUCCUGGCUGUCUCCAAAAUAUUUUGAUGAUUUUAUUGAACACCUCAAAGAAGGAAGCACUGUAUUAAUCAAAAAUAUCAAAUAACACCUCAUAUUGCAAUCUAAAUAUAAUUAGAUCACUAUUAUAUUUGGAAAAUGGAGAAUAUUCCAGGAGGACCUAUUUAAUAUUUUCCCUUAUGCUUAGAAAAACAACAACAACAACAACAAAAACAAUGUAACAGUGGCCAUGGCUGAGCAUGAGAGCAAAUAUCAAGGGUAUUUGUUUUCCAUGGGUUGUGUAAAGUUCUGUCAUCUCUGAACACAAACCCAGGUUUUCUGCAAGAAUAGACAGCAUUUUUAGGCUUAGAGCCAUCUUCUCAGCCCAUAUAGUUCAUUCUCAGUGAGGUCCUUUUCCUGUAUCUGCCUGUGGAGAAGGGAAAGAGAGGAACUGGGAGAGAAGGUCUCUGGGGUCUCUUCAUAUUGGAUGCUGUUCUUAUAUGAUCAAGCUCCAGUCUUCUAAACUUAUUUAACCUAAGUUUUCUUCCUUCUGCUCUUCAGACAUAGUUACACUGGGGACUUCAAUAUAUGAAUUGUGGGAAGUGAAACCAUUUACUACGCAAGUAUAUUUGUUUAUUUGAUUUUUUUUGUUUGCUUUAGAUGCUGGUCCUGAAUCUACAAUCCUCCUGUUUCCAUAUCCAAAUGCUCAGAUCAUAGGUGUGUAGCAGUGUAUCCAGGCAACAGAUAUUUUCCUGGAUAGAUGUGCCAUUAAAGGCUUCAGGAGAACAAAUCUUAACUUCUUAUACCAUUUAUCUUUCUUCCCCCCAAAUCAAACUGUGACUAGACAUGCCGAAGAUUGCUUGAGUAUGUAUAAAUAAAAUUUGAUUUCACUCUA